rnacentral:rRNA from 1 species
CCUACGGGAGGCUGCAGUGGGGAAUAUUGCACAAUGGGGGAAACACUGAUGCAGCGACGCCGCGUGAGUGAAGAAGUAUCUCGGUACGUAAAGCUCUAUCAGCAGGGAAGAAAAUGACGGUAACUGACUAAGAAGCCCCGGCUAAAUACGUGUCAGCAGCCGCGGUAAUACGUUGGGGGCAAGCGGUAUCCGGAUUUACUGGGUGAAAAGGGAGCGGAGACGGCAGCACAAGUCUGGAGUGAAAUCCCGGGGCUUAACCCCGGAACUGCUUUGGAUACUGUGCGGCUGGAGUGCAGGAGGGGUAAGCGGAAUUCCUAGUGUAGCGGUGAAAUGCGUAGAUAUUAGGAGGAACACCGGUGGCGAAGGCGGCCUGCUGGACUGUUACUGACGUUGAGGCCCGAAGGCGUGGGGAGCAAACAGGAUUAGAUACCCGUGUAGUC